rnacentral:rRNA from 1 species
GACGAACGCUGGCGGCGUGCUUAACACAUGCAAGUCGAACGGUGAAGCGCCUUCCUUUUUGGUGGGUGUGGAUGAGUGGCGAACGGGUGAGUAACACGUGAGUAACCUGCCCCCUUCUUCUGGAUAACCGCAUGAAAGUGUGGCUAAUACGGGAUAUUCUGGGUCUGUCGCAUGAUGGGUCUGGGAAAGAUAUUGUUUCGGUGGGGGAUGGGCUCGCGGCCUAUCAGCUUGUUGGUGGGGUGAUGGCCUACCAAGGCGGUGACGGGUAGCCGGCCUGAGAGGGUGGGCGGUCACACUGGGACUGAGACACGGCCCAGACUCCGACGGGAGGCAGCAGUGGGGAAUAGUGCACAAUGGGCGCAAGCCUGAUGCAGCGACGCCGCGUGAGGGAUGGAGGCCUUCGGGUUGUGAACCUCUUUCGCCAGUGAAGCAGGCCUGCCUCGUUUGUGGGUGGGUUGACGGUAGCUGGAUAAGAAGCGCCGGCUAACUACGUG